rnacentral:rRNA from 1 species
GGCUCAGAAUGAACGCUGGCGGCAUGCCUAACACAUGCAAGUCGAACGAGACCUUCGGGUCUAGUGGCGCACGGGUGCGUAACGCGUGGGAAUCUGCCCCUUGGUUCGGAAUAACAGCGAGAAAUUGCUGCUAAUACCGGAUAAUGACGUAAGUCCAAAGAUUUAUCGCCUAGGGAUGAGCCCGCGUAGGAUUAGCUAGUUGGUGUGGUAAAGGCGCACCAAGGCGACGAUCCUUAGCUGGUCUGAGAGGAUGAUCAGCCACACUGGGACUGAGACACGGCCCAGACUCCUACGGGAGGCAGCAGUGGGGAAUAUUGGACAAUGGGCGAAAGCCUGAUCCAGCAAUGCCGCGUGAGUGAUGAAGGCCUUAGGGUUGUAAAGCUCUUUUACCCGGGAUGAUAAUGAC